CGCUUUUGGAGGGGGGUGCGUCCUAUCAGGUAGUUGGUGUGGUAAUAGCUCACCAAGCCUAUGACGGGUAGCCGGUCUGAGAGGAUGUCCGGCCGCAAUGGAACUGAGACACGGUCCAUACUCCUACGGGAGGCAGCAGUGGGGAAUCUUGCGCAAUGGGCGAAAGCCUGACGCAGCAGUCCCGCGUGAAGGAUGAAGCAUUAUGGUGUGUAAACUUCUUUUCUGGUGGAAGACGAAUGACGGUACACCAGGAAUAAGGGACGGCUAACUACGUGCCAGCAGCCGCGGUAAUACGUAGGUCCCAAGUGUUAUCCGGAAUUACUGGGCGUAAAGAGUCUGUAGCCGGGUUUGUAAGUCUGUUUUCAAAUCCUAUGGCUUAACCAUAGAGAGGGAAUGGAUACUGCAAACCUUGAGAUUAUUGGGGGUUGAUGGAAUUUCCGGUGGAGCGGUGAAAUGCGUUGAUAUCGGAAGGAACGCCAAAAGUGAAAGCAGUCAACUACAAUAAAUCUGACGGUCAGAGACGAAAGCUUGGGGAGCAAACGGGAUUAGAUACCCCGGUAGUCCAAGCCGUAAAUUAUGCAUGCUAGGUGUCUUGUUCACUUUAUGUGAGCGGGGUGCCGUAAUCUAACGAGUUAAGCAUGCCGCCUGGGUAGUAUAUUCGCAAGAAUGAAACUCAAAGGGAUAGGCGGGGGAACACACAAGCAGUGGAUUGUCUCGAUUAAUUGGAUAAUAAGCCAAGAAUCUUACCUAGACUUGACAUAUAUUGUGUCCUACGUGAAAGUGUAGUAAUCCCGAUUUUGUCGGGAUACGAUAUACAGGUGGUGCAUGGUCGUCGUCAGCUCGUGCCGCAAGAUGUCCAGUUAAGUCUGGGAACGAGCGCAACCCUCGUUGUUAGUUA
rnacentral:rRNA from 1 species